rnacentral:lncRNA from 1 species
UCAGCCUCGCGAGAUUUCUUUUCUUCCUCCUUCUCUGUUUCUAAAUUUUCUUUGUUUUCAAAACCCACAAACACUAAAAACCUUCACUUUUCUCUUAGAUCUAAGUUUCGUUUCGAGAAGUGACAGAAGAGAAAGUUGCUCAUUGCCACGUUGCGGUGCUAGUGAGCUAGUUUUUGACGCGACAUCACAAACUUAAAUUUUACCAGAAUUAAUUACGGUACCGUAAUCGCGUGUUAGAGCUAUCGUUAAGGUAAGGGCUCCUUCCAAACUUUUAGUUUGCAUUUAGGACAUUAUUUGUGAUUUUGUGGAAAAGAAAUUUGAUGUAUUUGAUGUGUGAAUUUGUUGAAAAUGAAUUUAAUUUGUUUAUGUGGGAAUUAGUGGGAUUUGUUUUUGGUGUGUUUUGAGGUGUGGUUUGUGGUGAUCCAUAUUUGGUUUGAUUUAUAUGUUCAUAAUUAUUAUUAUGAACCUUUGAGAUGUGAUUUAGGUGUGGAUUUUGUGGAUAUUGAAUUAAUUAAAUUUGAUGAGUUUGAGUUACGUAAUGAGUUAUUUUCAAAUAAAUGAGUUUGAUCUGAAAUUGAAAUUCUACAAAAAAAAUUAGCGUUGUUAAAGUUGUAAAAAAGUUCAAAUUUUAACUAAGUUAAAGAGUUUGAGCAAAAAGAUAGAUUGAAAUUAAAAAUGGUUAGAGUUUAAAAUAUUACUCUUUUAAUUACUCUUUGAUUGAGUUUAAAAAGAAAAAAAAAAGUUUAGAGUAUUUUAUUAACUCAAAAAUUUCGGUGCUUUAAUAGUCGAGUGUGUGUAUGUGAAAUUUGGAUAAUAUUUGUUUAAUUUAGUUUUAAGUAGAUAAUAUAGAUUAUUUGGUUUUAAAAGUUUGGUGUGUGAGAAAGAUUUAAUUUUAAGAAUUUUGUUGUGUGUGAAUUAAUUUUAUUGUGAACAAAUUGUUAUAAAUAUUUAUGUUUAUGUAGUUAGCUCCUUGAGUCUCGAAAAUGAAUCGAGACCGUUGGCACUGAGUUAGCGGUGGGGAGAACUCUGAUAUAUUAAUGUUGUAGUGGUGAUUUAUGGUUGAAAAUUUUGGAGAUUGAAUAUGGGUGAUUAAUGUUUGGAAAUUUUGGUGAUUCAUGUUUGGUGAAAUUGAUGUGUUCAUAAUUAAUAUUAUGAAUUUUUGAGAAGAAAUUUAUGUGUGACUUGGU